rnacentral:rRNA from 1 species
UUAACGCUGGCGGCGUGCCUAAUACAUGCAAGUCGAAUGGUAGCAAUACCAUGGCGAACGGGUGAGUAACACGUAGGUAACCUGUCUUUAAGCCGAGGAUAACCAUUGGAAACGAUGGAUAAUACUGGAUAGGACAUUUGAAGGCAUCUUUAGAUGUUUAAAGAUUUAUUACUUAGAGAGGGGCCUGCGGCGCAUUAGCUAGUUGGUGAGGUGAAGGCUUACCAAGGCGAUGAUGCGUAGCCGGACUGAGAGGUUGAACGGCCACAAUGGAACUGAGAACGGUCCAUACUCCUACGGGAGGCAGCAGUAGGGAAUUUUCGGCAAUGGGCGGAAGCCUGACCGAAGCAACGCCGCGUGAACGAAGAAGUAUUUCGGUAUGUAAAGUUCUUUUAUUAGGGACGAAAAGACAGAUUGACGGUACCUAAUGAAUAAGCUCCGGCUAACUACGUGCCAGCAGCUGC